AGCUCCUGCACACACAACACACGCACACACAGCCACACAGACAAUGAAGCUCAAGAGCUCAAGGCCUCUUUUGACUCUUUCACAGUGCGUGUGUGCGUCACAGCUCUUGGGAUUCAUGACAUUCAUAUUUCCGCCUAGGAGCCAAGGGCCAGAUUAAUGCAGGUGUAACGGCCGUUGUUGGUGGUGGAAGAAGAAGAGGACCAAUGCGCAGCGUGGUGGACCUGAGCCCUAGGACCAUGCCUCAGGACUACCUGACAUGAUGACUCCUUGCUGUCCCCAGUCCACCUGGCCGUGCUGCUGCUCCAGUUUCAACUGUUCUGCCUGAUUAUUAUUCGACCCCGCUGGUCAUUUAUGAACAUUUGAACAUCUUGGCCAUGUUCUGUUAUAAUCUCCACCCGGCACAGCCAGAAGAGGACUGGCCACCUAUUGAAGGAAUUUUAUUCCUCUGUUUUAAUUCCCAAUUAAAAUUAAACACUCUGUCAAUUCAUAAGAAUUUGUAAGACUCUUAUUUUAUAGGAAUGGACAGAGCCCGGUCUUAAAGUCAAAUAGCAGCAGAGUACUCCCGCAAUACAGGUUACCACAGGUUAUAAACUGAAAAUGACGUCAUUAGUUCCAACACCACCCCGCUCCAUCACCGUUCCAGUAGAAAGGCUGUAUCUCGAGCCUUCCCACAUCCAUCUCCCUACCAAUUUAAUAUAAUUUACGAGUCAAGGUUUUCUCGUGUAGAUAAGCAUUCUAGCCAGUCUGAUUCAUUUGUACCAAGGAACAGACAGUCAUUGUUCUAACUCUUGACCACAUUCACACACAUUAUAUUCAGUACCGGGAUCAAGAAAGAAAAUUCAUACAUAUACAGUAACAUUUAGUAUUCUGAUUAGUACAUAUACAGUAACAUAAUAGUAUUCUGGUUAGUACAUCCUGAUUGAAAUGUAUACAUAAUUAGUCAUUAUAGAUAAAAAUUCCCUAAACACCACCCCACAUAGCCUGGUUCCUUUCUAGGUUUCUUCCUCGGUUUUGGCCUUUCUCGGGAGUUUUUCCUAGCCACCGUGCUUCUACACCUGCAUUGCUUGCUGUUUGGGGUUUUAGGGUGGGUUUCUGUACAGCACUUUGAGAUAUCAGCUGAUGUACGAAGGGCUAUAUAAAUACAUUUGAUUUGAUUCUUUAUUUGUAUUUCUAUGUCUUUGUGGGAAGUUGACUUUGUUUAUGGCACUUAGCGUCACGGUUUGUUUUGUAGUGUUUAUUGUUUUGUUUGGCGUCUUUUCUAAAUAAAAGAAUAUG